rnacentral:lncRNA from 1 species
GAACAUGGCGCAAGAACAGCUUGAGUUUAGUGAUACAUUUUAAUACACACAGAAUAAUCAAGCAUGUACAGCAUCACUUAACAGUGAAACUUAAUUCACAAAAUACGUGCAUCUUGCUCCAUCUUCCCCUAUAUGAGAUGUGUACCAGCCAUCUACAUGCUCGCUCUCUCUCUUCUCUUUUAUCAAUUUCUCAUGGAGAUGCUUGUCGGAGAUCAUAUCCUAGAACUGCACAUUUUGGAUGUCUUAUCUGACACACCCAUCUCAGGGCUUGGAGCCUUUUGUAAUGAGCUUACGAUAUAAAUCAGGGAGACCUCCAAAAUGAGCAGUACUUGAGUUAUCCAGCACCAGAACAUACUCCUGUACAUACCUUUGCAGUCACUAAUCAAUAAUAACCUGCAUUUAGAAGUGUACUGAAGUCCAUCCAGCAUGCAGCAACUGUGCGGGCAACAGGCUGAACUUCUGUCAACAGCUGAGUCUCCAGCGACAGCUGUGGCUGUACAGAAAUUCUCAGAUCUUCACAAACCACCAAUCAUCACCCCACUCUCUCUGGGACCAUGUAAUCGUGAAACACAACUGGCUGAACCUUCCUCUGCAUCCUCCACAUCUUCUGUUGGAGUCUGACCAGUCACUCUCUCUAAAGUGAAAACCCGUGACCUUUUUCCUCGUCUGUCCCAGUACCCGACUUGCUUUCAAGCCCUCCCAGUGGGAGGCCGGGAGUAACUUAAUUUUUCAGCCUACUCUUCUGUCACCUGAUACCCUUGAAGGGACGUUUCUCCCCUGAGCGUCUGUGUAAACUGGGCUCCACUUCUGCUUCUCCCUCCUGAUGUCUGUCUGUGACUAAAACCAGAUGGAAAUCUGAAGUCCUGCUUUGGCCCAACAUGUUCAGGGCCUCGCUCCUUGACACAAAUGUUUCCCUUUCCUCUUAUGUGUGUUCAUUCUUUUUCUACUAUCAAAUGAGAUUGAUUCCUCCAAGGGCCCGGUUAUUUGAGAGGCCGGGGCAAUAUGGAAGUGGGGGGGGGGGGGGGGGGUUGUGGAAUGAUAAUCUGUCUGUGUGAGUGCCUGGAGCAGCUUUUCUGUACAGUUUUAAAUGAAUUGUAAUGUAGUUGGUGAAGACAAACGCAAUAAAUCUGACUCCCUUCUAAAUGUGCUUUUAAAGUAAACUUUUUUUUUUUUUUUUUUACUGCAUAUUUCACAGUGAAACUUGAUAUUUAACAAUUAAAAAUUGCUCGCUGGGAUCAAUUGAGAGUUGGUUGGAUCACGAAAAGUAUUUUAGAAAACAUAUUUUAGAGCCAGGUGGGGGGGAGCACUGAUGAAUCAAAUAUUGAAACAAAUAAUACAUUUUGAUUUCAUGAUGACUAU